ACUCUAGUAGUUUAUAAAAACAUUGGUCUUGUAAACCAAAAGAUGUAGGAUUCCCCUUCCUAGAGUU
rnacentral:tRNA from 1 species